AUGGUCAACGUGGGUUAUUCAACUGUCAGAAGGUGCAUCCGAGCGGUGUUUGGCCCAGGGAUGCAGGGAAAAAAUUUGACAACGGAGGCCUUCGUCGCUGACGGAGCAAAUGAUGGGAUAGCUGCCCGUUGGGGUUUGCGGCCUGUCACAGGUGAUCAGUCGUGGGGGUCGUACAUGAGGUUUGCAAGCAAUCCCAAUAACCCAGUGUUUGGUCAGCCGAUGGUGUAUGCGGAGUUCAUUUCAGUCACUGAUGUUGCCGAAUGCAAUAGCAGGGGCGGUGAGGUCGAGUUGGCCAUCACAUCAGCCCCUAGCAUCGGCCCAUCGGAACUGACGGGCGACCAGCCUGUGUAUGACACAGGAUAUUGGUCUGCGGCCGUUGACAUGAGUGAACAUGUGGAGGGAUUGCCGGAGGCGCUAGAUGAUGACGAUCACUCUUCCGCGUCUUCCGAGUCAAGCGAAGAAGAAGAUGUUCCUCCCGAGAGGGCGGUCACGGCGUCACUGCAACCUGGGUUUUUACAGGAUAUGAGCAUCACAAAUGAAUUUCACUCUGGAGCCUGGAGGUUGGGCAGGUUUUCCCAGACAAGAAGUCUGCUUACCAGGCAAUUAAUAGGUAUGCAAUCGCCCUCCACCGCCAGCAUAAAGUGA
rnacentral:rRNA from 1 species